GGCGGGUUGGCCGAGUGGCUUAGGCAAGGGCCUGCAAAGCCCUGUACGCGGGUUCGAUUCCCGCACCCGCCU
rnacentral:tRNA from 1 species